rnacentral:rRNA from 1 species
UUUCUUAGAUCGUACGGUCCCUUCGGGGACUGGUGGAUAACUGUGGUAAUUCUAGAGCUAAUACAUGCAAUCAAGCUCAGACCUUCGGGGACGGGCGCUCAUAUUAGACCAAGGCCAACCUGUGGGGCAACCUGCAGACGUCUGUGGUGACUCUGGAUAUCCAACAGUUGAUCGCACGACCUUUGCGUCGGCGACGUAUCUUUCAAGCGUAUGCCCUAUCACCUGUCGACGUUAGGUUAACAGCCUAUCGUGGGUUUUACGGGUAGCGGGGAAUCAGGGUUCGAUUCCGGAGAGGGCGCAUGAGAAAUGGCGACCACAUCCAAGGAAGGCAGCAGGCGCGCAAAUUACCCAAUGCCGACUCGGCGAGGUAGUGACGAAAAAUAACAAUACGGGACUCUUUUGAGGCCCCGUAAUUGGAAUGAGCACAAUCUAAAUCCUUUAGCGAGGAUCUAUUGGAGGGCAAGUCUGGUGCCAGCAGCCGCGGUAAUUCCAGCUCCAAUAGCGUAUAUUAAAGUUGCUGCAGUUAAAAAGCUCGUAGUUGGAUCUCGGGUAUCGUCUCGGUGGUCCUGUUUACGCAGGCACUGCCUUGACGACCUAACCAAUGGUUGAACGACUCCGAGUGCCCUUCACUGGGUGCUCGUGGGUGGCCAUUGCGUUUACUGUGAAAAAAUUAGAGUGUUCAAAGCAGGCUAUUAAAGCUCGGAUAGUCGUGCAUGGAAUAAUGGAAAAUGACACUAGUGCAUUUCCGUUGGUCUCUGUGACUGGUGUAAUGAUUAAGAGGGACUGCCGGGGGCAUUGGUAUGGCGGGGUUAGAGGUGAAAUUCUUGGAUCCUCGCCAGACCAACAAAA